rnacentral:rRNA from 1 species
UACAGAGGUCUCGAGCGUUAGGCGGAAUCACUGGGCUUAAAGCGUGUGUAGGCGGAUCGUUAAGUGCCUUGUGAAAUCCCACGGCUCAACCGUGGAACUGCUUGGCAUACUGGCGGUCUUGAGCAACCUAGGGGGCGAGCGGAACAAAUGGUGGAGCGGUGAAAUGCGUAGAUAUCAUUUGGAACGCCAAUGGUGAAAACAGCUCGCUGGGGGUUUGCUGACGCUGAGACGACGAA